rnacentral:rRNA from 1 species
AUUGAACGCUGGCGGAAUGCUUUACACAUGCAAGUCGAACGGCAGCACGGACUUCGGUCUGGUGGCGAGUGGCGGACGGGUGAGUAAUGUAUCGGAACGUGCCCAGUCGCGGGGGAUAACGUAGUGAAAAUUACGCUAAUACCGCAUACGAUCUAUGGAUGAAAGCGGGGGAUCGCAAGACCUCGCGCGAUUGGAGCGGCCGAUAUCAGAUUAGGUAGUUGGUGGGGUAAAGGCCCACCAAGCCAACGAUCUGUAGCUGGUCUGAGAGGACGACCAGCCACACUGGAACUGAGACACGGUCCAGACUCCUACGGGAGGCAGCAGUGGGGAAUUUUGGACAAUGGGCGAAAGCCUGAUCCAGCCAUUCCGCGUGCAGGAUGAAGGCCCUCGGGUUGUAAACUGCUUUUGUACAGAACGAAAAGGUCUCUACUAAUACUAGGAGCUCAUGACGGUACUGUAAGAAUAAGCACCGGCUAACUACGUGCCAGCCGCCGCCGUAA